AGCAGCCGCCGCGGUAAUACGUAGGGUGCGAGCGUUAAUCGGAAUUACUGGGCGUAAAGCGUGCGCAGGCGGUUGUGUAAGACAGGUGUGAAAUCCCCGGGCUUAACCUGGGAACUGCACUUGUGACUGCACAGCUAGAGUAUGGCAGAGGGGGGUGGAAUUCCACGUGUAGCAGUGAAAUGCGUAGAGAUGUGGAGGAACACCGAUGGCGAAGGCAGCCCCCUGGGCCAAUACUGACGCUCAUGCACGAAAGCGUGGGGAGCAAACAGGAUUAGAGACCCGCGUAGUCCCUGUCUCUUAUAU
rnacentral:rRNA from 1 species